UGCAACAGUCAUGUCUACAGUA
rnacentral:piRNA from 1 species